rnacentral:rRNA from 1 species
CCUACGGGCGGCAGCAGUGGGGAAUAUUGCACAAUGGGGGAAACCCUGAUGCAGCGACGCCGCGUGAGCGAUUAAGUCCUUCUGUAUGUAAAGCUCUAUCAGCAGGGAAGAAAAUGACGGUACCUUCCUACUAAGCCCCGGCUCACUACGUGCCAGUCGCCGCGGUCAUACGUAGGGGGCAAGCGUUAUCCGGAUUUACUGGGUGUAAAGGGAGCGUAGACGGUCGUGCAAGGCAGAUGUGAAAGCCCGGGGCUCAACCCCGGGACUGCAUUUGGAACUGUAAGGCUAGAGUGUGGGAGAGGCAGGCGGAAUGCGUAGUGUAGCGGUGAAAUGCGUAGAUAUUAGGAAGAACACCAGUGGCGAAGGCAGCCUGCUGGACGAUGACUGACGUUGAGGCUCGAAAGCGUGGGGAGCAAACAGGAUUAGAUACCCUUGUAGUC